GACUACAUGAUCUAAUGGUAUGAUACAACUACUUCACAGUUGAUAUACGAGUUCAAUUCUCGUUGUAGUUA
rnacentral:tRNA from 1 species